rnacentral:rRNA from 1 species
UACGGAGGGGGCUAGCGUUGUUCGGAAUUACUGGGCGUAAAGCGCACGUAGGCGGCUUUGCAAGUUAGAGGUGAAAGCCCGGAGCUUAACUCCGGAAUUGCCUUUAAAACUGCAUCGCUAGAAUUGUGGAGAGGUGAGUGGAAUUCCGAGUGUAGAGGUGAAAUUCGUAGAUAUUCGGAAGAACACCAGUGGCGAAGGCGACUUACUGGACACAUAUUGACGCUGAGGCGCGAAAGCGUGGGGAGCAAACAGG